GAUGAAGUCACCAUCCCUGGAGGUGUCCAAGAAGAGGGUAGAUGUGGCACUUGGGAAUGUGGGUUAGUGGGCACAGUGGCCAUGGGUUGAUACUUGGACUAGAUGAUCUUAGCAGUCUUUUCUAACCUUCAUGAUUCAAUGGCUCUAUGAAAUAUCACCUAAGUGUGUGGUGACUAAACAGGUUUCUACCUUCACCCUUGUAACUGCUGUUUUCCUCUAUUUAUGUUUGUUGUAUCAAUAUAGCAAACAUCAGACAAGACCCUUGUGUAAAACUAUCGAUCCAUUUAGCCUGAAGAGGAAAAUAUCACUGGCUAACUUUGCUCCAAACCAAGAAGCAAAUGAGCUGUUAAGCUGGGGAGGGGUAUAGAUGCAUUUGUGGGGUGUGAUUUGUGUGGGUUUUUCAGCCCUUGGUAAAAAGGAAGAAGUUAAAACACCUUCCCCAAGUCAUCUUGAUAGGAACUCUGCAGAACAAAAGGAGAUAAUGAGCUGUAUAACAUAUGAGGAUGAGAGGUAAAAGCUUAUUUAAAAAUAACCUUAAACUUAUCAGCAUCCAUAGAUCAGCAUUUACCAUCAUAUUUAAACUCAGAAAGAUAAUUUCCUAAAUUUUGAAAUUCACAGGUUCUCUCUGAAGAAACAGUCCUUUUUGCAACACUUUCUUGAUGACUUUGUCAGCAGUGUUCCAGCUGCUUUCACUUUGCAUCAGCAACAGCAUGGACAGAUCAACAAGUGCUGUGGGAAAUGGAUGCAGCUUGCAGCCAGGGAAGGAGCCAUAUUGAGCUCUGGUUACGUCUGGAAAACUUCCAACAAAAGGGAACAAAUAUGAAUGACAGUCAAAGCAGGACAAAGGAUGCUCAGAACAACAAAGGUGCACAGAGCUCUAAGGAGCAUAGUACAGCCAGACCAGACCUUCUCACUGGACAUGCUUUGGGGGUAGAAGAGAUGGCCAAAUAUGUCCAGCCAUAUGGAGAUGGGGGCAAUGACUUCCAAAGCCAGCUGGCCUAUGUUGGACUGACCUACCUUAGAUACCACCUGUGGCUUUAG
rnacentral:lncRNA from 1 species